GUAGGUGGCAAGCGUUGUCCGGAAUUAUUGGGCGUAAAGCGCGCGCAGGCGGUCCUUUAAGUCUGAUGUGUAAGCCCACGGGCUCAACCGUGGAGGGUCAUUGGAAACUGGGGGACUUGAGUACAGAAGAGGAGAGCGGAAUUCCAAGUGUAGCGGUGAAAUGCGUAGAGAUUUGGAGGAACACCAGUGGCGGAGGCGGCUUUCUGGUCUGUAACUGACGCUGAGGCGCGAAAGCGUGGGGAGCAAACAGGAUUAGAUACCCUGGUAGUCCACGCCGUAAACGAUGAGUGCUAAGUGUUAGGGGGUUUCCGCCCCUUAGUGCUGCAGCUAACGCAUUAGGCACUCCGCCUGGGGAGUACGGCCGCAAAGGCUG
rnacentral:rRNA from 1 species